AACUAGCAUAUCAAUGAGCGGAGGAUAAGAAACCAACAGGGAUUGCCCCAGUAACGGCGAGUGAAGCGGCAACAGCUCAAAUUUGAAAUCUGGCCCUCGGGUCCGAGUUGUAAUUUGUAGAGGAUGCUUUUGGCGCGGUGCCUUCCGAGUUCCCUGGAACGGGACGCCUUAGAGGGUGAGAGCCCCGUACGGUUGGACACCAAGCCUCUGUAAAGCUCCUUCGACGAGUCGAGUAGUUUGGGAAUGCUGCUCUAAAUGGGAGGUAAAUUUCUUCUAAAGCUAAAUAUUGGCCAGAGACCGAUAGCGCACAAGUAGAGUGAUCGAAAGAUGAAAAGCACUUUGAAAAGAGGGUUAAAUAGCACGUGAAAUUGUUGAAAGGGAAGCGUUUGCGACCAGACCUCUCCCUGGCGGAUCAUCCGGCGUUCUCGCCGGUGCACUCCGCCAGGCUGAGGCCAGCAUCGGUUUUCGCGGGGGGACAAAAGCGGGGGGAACGUAGCUCCCUCGGGAGUGUUAUAGCCCUCCGCAUAAUACCCUCGCGGGGACCGAGGACCGCGCUUCGGCAAGGAUGCUGGCGUAAUGGUCGUCAACGACCCGUCUUGAAACACGGACCAAGGAGUCGAACAUUUGUGCGAGUGUUUGGGUGUCAAACCCUCACGCGUAAUGAAGGUGAACGUAGGUGAGAGCCCUCGCGGGCGCAUCAUCGACCGAUCCUGAUGUCUUCGGAUGGAUUUGAGUAAGAGCAUAACUGUUCGGACCCGAAAGAUGGUGAACUAUGCGUGGAUAGGGUGAAGCCAGAGGAAACUCUGGUGGAGGCUCGCAGCGGUUCUGACGUGCAAAUCGAUCGUCAAAUCUGCGCAUGGGGGGCGAAAGACUUAUCGAACCAUCUAGUAGCUGGUUACCGCCGAUCUCCCCCCCCCCUCCCGG
rnacentral:rRNA from 1 species